rfam:Syntrophobacteraceae bacterium CG2_30_61_12 cg2_3.0_scaffold_16439_c, whole genome shotgun sequence.
AGAGUCAUACAGCGAAGGCUUAGCCAGCCACGCUGGCCCCGAGUCAUGCGCAGGUGCCCGUAAGGGUACAGGCGAAGCGUUGACAGGGGUACACACAGGCCAGGUAUUGAGCUGCGAAAUCAACCAUUCCGGGAUGCCGACGCCGUCGCCUAACGCGGAAGGCAAC